rnacentral:lncRNA from 10 species
CACAAAUGCCUUAAUGUGGCUGGCAUUCAUGAGAAGGUAUGCAACUAUUGUUGAAAUAUGAAGAACUCAGAAUGUCAAGAGAGAAGAGGGAUCCCGCCACAUUUGAAGAACCACAAAAGGAGGCUGAGUGAGCUGAAAGAAAUACACAAGUGGAUCAGCAACAUGACAGCUGCUGCAGUGAAAUCUGGAUUGUAAUAUGUCAGUUUCCAACCCAUCACAUACAAUCCAGACAGAGACAUAGCUUUUUGUCUGCCUCGUUGUGAUUUCCCUGUCUGGUGCGGUUUGGGUCACAUCUGUUGGCUGCAUUCUCAUCUUCAUGAGAUCUGCAUUGACUGAUAGUUUAAACCCCAUGUUUAUCUAUGUCUGCGGCUCUUAUUUCUCUCACAGGGAAGUCUCCAGAGAAGCCCAGUAUCCCCUGAUGUGAGAAUCUUGCUUGGUUUUAUUAAUCAACAGCCAGUGCCCACAUUCAGGCAGUUCUGUAUGUUUCAUGCUAGGAUAUUGGGUGUGUUUGUUACAUAUGUCUUUCAACAUUUAUUAUAUCAGAAAAAAUUUGAUAAAAACAUAAACCUACUUCCUGAAUAUAUCACACUGAUUUAAAACAGAACUUCUCACGAUGAACAACCCAAGCUCACUGUUUCUUUGACUUUUGCAUAUUUUCUACUCGUGCAUUAUUCUGUCAUUUCAUGAUAAAAUGAUUGAAAAACACUGCUUUAACCCUCCAAACUUGGCUAGUGGCUAUAUAAGGAUUUAAACUUCAGCAUGCCUGUCUAUGCUCAAGCCUUGGAAAUCCUUUUGCAUUUCAACCAUUGCUAAUGUUUCAUAUCUGCACAUUGAAUCUAACCCUUGAUUUCUUUUGUAGACAUAUGUAAUCUGAAGGCAUGCAACAUUUUGCAAAUGUUGGCCCAUAUUUUUAUUUCAUAAGGUCUUAUUUGGUCUGUCGACCAAGUUUUGAUUACUUCCAUAUUGCUCUUAAUUGCCUUAAUAUCCCCAAAGACUUUCCUAUUCUGUGCAUCCCUUUAUCUUUGCUUCUUUUAUCUCUUGCUGUGAGAGUACAAAAUUGCUGACAUAUUCAAUGUAUUUAAAUUCUGAGUGUUGCAGAAGAGUUUUCAAAUCUGUUUUAAUUUUCUGAUACUCAGCUGAGGACCAUUACACAUUCUGUUCAGCUAAUCUGUUUUUAAUCAUAUCUGUAAAUGCUAAAGUUGUACAUGAGAGAAAUGAUGCAUAAAGUAAAACCAGACCAAGUGUACUUUCGCAUAUGUAAAACUAAAUUCUUACUUUCUUCCACUUACAAGUUUUAUUUUCCUAUAGUCGUGUAGUCUUGACUUACACCAGAAUUUAUCUGCCAAGAGUUUAUGGUACUGUAGUGAAAAAAUCCCGACUUUUUCAUGUUUAAAAUAUUUAUCGAUUAGUACUUAUCCCCUUGCUAUCAUAAUAAAAUUUGAUGAACGUAAAUGUACUUUUAAUUCCAUUUCAUAAUGUAUCAGCUAAGAUAUAUUCAGUCAUAAAUAACUAAUAAUUGCAUUAAUAGUGGUAUUGGCCAUAAAGACAGUUGCUAACUUAACAUAAAU